CCUACGGGUGGCAGCAGUGAGGAAUAUUGGUCAAUGGUCGGGAGACUGAACCAGCCAAGCCGCGUGAGGGAGGAAGGUACAGAGUAUCGUAAACCUCUUUUGUCAGGGAACAAAGGCGGGGACGUGUCCCCGGAUGAGUGUAACAGAAGAAAAAGCAUCGGCUAACUCCGUGCCAGCAGCCGCGGUAAUCCGGAGGACGCGAGCGUUAUCCGGAUUUAUGGGGGUAAAAGGGUGCGAAGGCGGUCUGUUAAGUCAGCGGUCAAAGCCCGGGGCUCAACCCCGGCCCGCCGUUGAAACUGGCAGUCUCGAGUUGGAGAGAAGUAUGCGGAAUGCGCGGUGUAGCGGUGAAAUGCAUAGAUAUCGCGCAGAACUCCGAUUGCGAAGGCAGCAUGCCGGCUCCACACUGACGCUGAGGCACGAAAGCGUGGGUAUCGAACAGGAUUAGAUACCCCGGUAGUC
rnacentral:rRNA from 1 species